CUAUGCCAAUAGACUGGAAUAUCAAAAGGAGCUGCCAAGCUGAAAAUACUAGAUGGAUGGAAUAUCUGCCUCUUGAAUAUGAGACUGGCUAAGUUCAGAGUACAUCAGAAGUCAACCACAGGGAUACAAACUGAAUGAGGACCUUCUCUAAAUCUCCACCAACUAGUAUGAUGUAUUUAUUUAACUGAUUCAAAUUUGUAAUAUUGGAUUAAGGAGCUCCUGGAUAUACAGGAAGAAGCUAGUAUUCUAAGGGCUCCAUUACCCAGACAAAGGAAGAAUAAAAGGUUGAGAAAGCAUCCUCCUGCAACCACCAGGGCCAGUGAUCCAGUGAUUCCUAGGCCUGAGAGGAGGCAAAAAGUGCCCUUUUCUAGGGUAGGAGCCUAUCUUAUUUCAUCUGCACAGCAGCCCUAUGGGAGGAGGAGGAAAAGGAAGAAGAGGAGGAGGAAGAAGAGGAGGAGGAGGACCAAUAUUAUUACUAUUACUUUGUAGAUGAGGAAACCAGCUUAGCAAGAUCAAGUGACUUGGUUCCACAAGAAAGAAUGAGCCCUGAUAUCUGCGUUCAAAUCUUGAUUGUGCUAUUCAUUAAGUGUGUGGCCUUGAGCAUGUCAUUUCUCUGGGUCUCAGUUUCCUCAUCUUUAAAAUGAGGGGAUUUGGGGCAGCUAGGUGGCUCAAUGGACAGAGCUCCAGACCUAGAGUCAGGGAUGACCUGUGUUCAAAUUUAGCCUCAGACACUUUCUAGCUGUGUGAUCCUGGGCAACCUUGUUUGCAUAGCCCUUGCCUUUCUGCCUUAGAAUUGUUUCUAGGACAGAAAAUAACAGUCUUAUUAUUUUUUAAAUCCUUAUCCUUCUGUCUCAGUCCCAAUUCUAAGAUAAGGCUAGGCAAUUGGGGUGAAGGGACUUGACCAGGAUCAUAUAUCCAAAUUUGAACCCAAGCCUCCCCACUUGAGACUUGACACUAUCGACUGUAAUACCUAAAUACCCCAGAAUUUAUGGGUUCAAAAAGUAAGAAUAAAAUAAAAUGAGGGGAUUAGAUUCUCCAACCUAUCAUUCUUUCUAACUCAAGGACAUAAGACUAGUCAAUGGCAGAUCAAUGGAAGAAAUUUACCUCUAGAUCCCAUGACACAGUUCUGAAUUCUGUGGCAAAACCAAAGGAAACUGAAGCAGAUGGAUCAGUGGGCUUUGGAUGGAUCAUUGACUCUAACUCUGUUUUACAAUGGAGGAAACAAUCACAGACAGGCUAGGUGAUUUUUUUCCCCAUGGGCACACAGUUGAUGGCAGCUGGGAAUAGAACUCAGACUUCUGGCUCUCAAUCCAAUGUUCUUUCAACAACAUGAAGCCACAAAAAUGUUUUCCUUUGACCUUGAAAAAUCUAGAAUCCCUGGAUCCCCAUAUCCUCAAUCAACCCUUAGGACCAGAGUCACAGGGGAUGGGGGCUCACAGGCCUCCCAUUGGACCUUCAGCUUUUAUUUAAUUUGUGCCAUUCUCUUCCAUCCAUCUUUCACCCCUUGGGAACUUUGGGGUUGUGGUUGACAUUCCUUCGCCUCCUGUCAUGAUGGAUGUUUUUGGCUCUCGGCACAGGGUGGCAGCAAAGGAGAACAGGCUGCCUGUGAAGAAUGAAGCCAGAGGAAAGGAUUGGACUCUGGGGAGCUCCCUUUCAAAUACAGUAACUAGUGCAGACUUGCCCACAUUAAAGCCAAUAGCAUGAAGACAAGGAGAUACCUCCAAAUGCCCUUUGGCACUCACCUGCAAAGGUAGAAGGGUAUCAUGGCUUCUCUCGGAUUCUACAUUUGCCUCAGCAUGGAAUUAUCCCUGUGUUUUGUGAUCAGUGAAGAAACGUGAACUAUAAAGCCUGAUUCCUGAGUCUCCAGGUACCCUCAGAUGGGUCUCUUCACUCCUAAGACUCAGAGUUUCUUGGGGGUAGAGUCGUCCUUGUCCCUUCUUCAGGGAGGGAGGGAGAGAGAGAAAGUGUAUCUGCUAACAUGCCACCAAACUCUCUGAGAUGCUUCAAGACUUCAUUCUUUAAGAAUCCACUCAUUUGGAAUGUGUCAGAAGUCAAGGCAAACUGGACUGGCCUAACUUCAUAUUGUCUCUAUUUGAAAAAGGUUUGUGAAACAAAAGAAUUGAGAUGGCCAAGAAUGGAAGAGGGAGAGAGGAGACAGGGGGAAGGAUCUUCCUUUUCUACACUCAGAAUCACCUCCUAACCCUGGCACAGUGUUCCUUGUACAUCCUGGCUGUUAGAAAAAUCUUUAGUAAAUUGGAAAUUUAACCUCCUUAAGAGAAGAAGCAGUUUGAAAAGGCUUCAGCCCAUUAUGCAAAUGAUGAUGUUUGCUAGAAAUGAAUCUUUUCUGUUCACUCAAGCAGUCCCAGCAGGAUCACUACCUAGAAAUGCUUUUUUAAAAAAUUAUCGGAGAAUUCAAUUCGUCAAGUUCCUACUGUGCACCUGAGAAGAGCAAGGCUGUAAGGUAAAUAGAAGCAGUAAAUGGUAGUGCCACUGGUCUUUAGGAGCUCAUAGUGUACAGAUGGAAAUAAGUAGCUGAGUGUCCCAAUGGGUAGAGCACUGGACUUAGCGUCAGGAAAUCCUCAACCCAAAUCAAACCUCAGAUGCUCUCUCUGUGAUCCCAGGCAAAUGACUUAACUUCUCUCA